rnacentral:tRNA from 4 species
GGGCACUUGGCGCAGUGGCUAGCGCGUUCGCUUGACGUGCGAAAGGUCGUGGGUUCAAAUCCCUCAGUGCCCA